CUAGGUAAACAAAGAGGGAUUUUUUUUUUACCGAGGUUGCUAGGUAACCAAGAGUUAAUGCCACUUAUCUUCCUUAGCUGGCCGUGAGAGGUUGAGGAGCCAACGGCUUUCCUCUGCCUACAUCUCCCAGAAUGCUGUGCGGUUCUGGAUCAGAAUACCUCUUUGAACAGCAGAAACGGCGCCUCCUGCACAACCAACAAGAAGCUGGCAAGUGGUUUCUGAAUGGCACCAAAACUGGCUCCGGCCCAGGGCCCCUCAUCCCUGUAACUCCGGCACUGGGCGUAAUCUAAGGGCAACACAUCCAGGUCAGCAGCUGGAAGAAAACUUACUCUGAAGUAGAUGGGAAACUACAUUUGGUUUUAUCCAUGUGGACGUGAAGCGGUGAAACAGAGACACUAAACGACGCACGGGGAGGCGUUUUGUACGCGUUUUUGAACGUUCACACGGUUAAUCAGCAGCAGAAGCAUUUCCUGGGAAUUCCCUCUGAGAGAAACUGGAAGAGUUGGAGGAGCAAAGGAAGCAAAGGAAGUAUAAAAGCACGUCUCAGUCACAGUUGAAAGAAAAAACCCUUCUCCGGAAGACAAUACGAUGCACACAAUGACAUGACGAUGUGCUAUAAUUUGGUUAAAUCUUUGUUAAAAUAACUGGACCAAGUUUUUUGCCUCAGUGAGGUUGUUGGCGUCAAAAAGAACC